CAGUAGCCGCGGGAAUACAGAGGGUGCGAGCGUUAAUCGGAUUUACUGGGCGUAAAGCGUGCGUAGGCGGCUUCUUAAGUCGGAUGUGAAAUCCCUGAGCUUAACUUAGGAAUUGCAUUCGAUACUGGGAAGCUAGAGUAUGGGAGAGGAUGGUAGAAUUCCAGGUGUAGCGGUGAAAUGCGUAGAGAUCUGGAGGAAUACCGAUGGCGAAGGCAGCCAUCUGGCCUAAUACUGACGCUGAGGUACGAAAGCAUGGGGAGCAAACAGGAUUAGAUACCCGGGUAGUCCCUGUCUCUUAUAA
rnacentral:rRNA from 1 species